rnacentral:rRNA from 1 species
AUGCAGCGGCGUGCUCUGACGGCGUGUACUCUGGGUCUGGGGACGCGGGGCGCGGCGAAGGCGUCGCCGGGGAAGCGAACCGAGCAGCAGGGUCCGACCAAGUGUAAUCCGGCGACGGCGGAGGGCACGAGGGAGGGUGAUCGGGCGACGGCGGAGGGCCCGAGGCAGCGUAAUCCGGCGACGGCGGAGGGCCCGGCGAAGUGUAAUCCGGCGACGGCGGAGGGCACGAGGGAGUGCAGUCGGGCGACGGCGGAGGGCCCGACGCAGCGUAAUCCGGCGACGGCGGAGGGGCCGACGGAGUGUGAUCCUGCGAUGUGCACUCCUCGUGGUGCCCGCCAUACGGCCGGCUGCAGCGCUCGUCGCCCACGCCGAAGCCCGGGAAGAAGGGGCCUCCUCCCGGCAUGA